AGUGAACGCUGGCGGUAGGCCUAACACAUGCAAGUCGAACGGCAGCACAGUAAGAGCUUGCUCUUACGGGUGGCGAGUGGCGGACGGGUGAGGAAUACAUCGGAAUCUACUUUUUCGCGGGGGAUAACGUAGGGAAACUUACGCUAAUACCGCAUACGACCUACGGGUGAAAGCAGGGGAUCUUCGGACCUUGCGCGAUUGAAUGAGCCGAUGUCGGAUUAGCUAGUUGGCGGGGUAAAGGCCCACUAAGGCGACGAUCCGUAGCUGGUCUGAGAGGAUGAUCAGCCACACUGGAACUGAGACACGGUCCAGACUCCUACGGGAGGCAGCAGUGGGGAAUAUUGGACAAUGGGCGCAAGCCUGAUCCAGCCAUACCGCGUGGGUGAAGAAGGCCUUCGGGUUGUAAAGCCCUUUUGUUGGGAAAGAAAAGCAGCAGGUUAAUACCCCGCUGUUCUGACGGUACCCAAAGAAUAAGCACCGGCUAACUUCGUG
rnacentral:rRNA from 1 species